ensembl:lincRNA
GGUCAGGAUAGGUAAAAGAGCCAAGGGAAGAUAUAUAAGAUCAUCAGUUUUUGCUGAAGAUCUCAGGGAAAAAUUAUGAGGGAGAAAGUAUUUGAGUUGGAUCUUGAAGGAGGAGCAGGAUUAGACAAAGCUUGCCUUCUCUGAAGUUACACAUGUAAAGGUACCAGUGGUGACCCACACAUGCCCUUACAUGGAGAUUAUAUGGCAAAGAUGUAAAUGAGUAGCUUAGAUCUGGCAUCAUAUUUUCAUAAAUUAGUUCUUUAGAAGACCCCUGGAAACCAAAGAAUUUGAAAUUCACCAACACAUGGAUUUGACAUGAUUAUUCCUAUUUACUCCCUGCCCCCAACAAUAAAUGAGCAUGAAUGGCUGGGGCAAGGGCAGCAGACAGUGGACAUCUCACUAUUGUCUUCUAUAGGUAGUUGUCAAGGGUCUUGAGAAUUAAAAUAAACAGUCUGCAAUCUGAAUUCUACUUUGGGGCCUCUUUGUGAUGUACAGAGAACCUUCAGCAACUGAAUUAGCAUGCAGAGCUCUACAUCAACUGACUCCCUUGGACAAAUAGCAAGUGAUAAUGCAUGGACAACCUACUUCUGGUUAUUCAUGGCCUUGGCAUACAGCAAGAAAUACCUAUGCCUAACUCAGCUCUCACAACCUAGGCACUGUGGUUGCAGAGAGAAGGCAUUCAGGCUGCCUUCAGAGACUUUGAAUGAUGAGCCCUGUUUUAAACAGAAGGUUCAUCUAGAAAGUCCAGCUCAACACGUAAGCAAGAUGCCAGCUGCGGCAGGCUCUGGUAUUCUGUUACAUCAGCCCAAAAGGACUAUGGCAUCUACAAAGGACAAAUAAUGAGAGCACCUCAACAAUCCGCAAGAGGCACUGAGAGUAUUUGCAAGACUGCUUUUGGAAGGUCUAUUCUCAGCACAAAGCUGUGGGUAAAUGCAGUAUAUAUUGCAUACUUCCUCUCACCUUGGAAGACUUGAAGGCCCCAUUUACAUAUGGGGAACAAAUCCAGGGGAAAACAAAUGAUUUGAUACAAUGUAGUCACUGAGUUCUCUGCCCUUUAUAAGUGGCAGGUUUAUGCCAUUCUUCUAGGAACUAAUUCUAUGUCACUGGUGCUUCCUGUUGUCUUCAGUAGUUCUACAUAUCAGUAUUAUUUUAUUUUUCAAAUUCAAAUCUUCUCUUCUCAAUUUAACUGAAAACGUCUCUGAAAGCCAAGAUCUGUCUUAAACAUCUUAACACCCUCAUAGUUUUGAGCCUUGCACAUACACAAAAUAAGAUAACAAUAUUUACUUUCUGGAUAAAUCAUUUUGAAACUAUUAGUCUCUUUGCAGUUUUCCUAAAAGAUUCAAGUAUAAUAAAGUGUGUGUGUGUGUGUGUGUGUGUGUGUGUGUGUGUGUGUGUGUGUAUGAAGGAGGUUUCACACUUGGUAAAUGAAUAAUUUUGUCUAGCGCAAUUAUUCUUACUGAAGAGAUAAAAUUGAAUCCAGAUAAAUAUAAUCUCAAAUUUCUAAUUAUUCCCUGCUUAAGUUAUAUUUAUGUUUCAGUUAAUUAGCCACUUACAUUAUUAAGUCAUUAUUAAUAAUUAAAAUUAAAAUACAAGUAAUUCUGUGGCUUUUCAGAGGGUGAUAUAUGAGGCUUCAAUAUUUGCUGGACUUUGCUCCAGCCCUGUUUAAAUUAACCUCAGUUCUAAAAAGAAGCUUUGCAUCUCCCUUGAUUGCUGCAGGGAGAUGGAUACUGCCUGUUUAGGGGAACCAGUUGGCUAAUAUUGGAGAGUUGGAAAGAAAGAUUAGAGCAAUAUUUCUGGUGAUGGAAGUGAGUGGAUAAUUCAAAGGAUUGAGGAAGGAUUAUACACCCUGUAACCCACAAGAGAGAUUCAGAAACACAUAUAUCAGUGAUUAAAAACAGACAGACAUUACAUGGUCCACAACUCCAGCAGUUUUCACCAAGGUACACACGUGAGACUGCUUUGUGUUUCCCCAUUUCUGCUACAUUUCUGUAUUUAGGGAGCUUUUUC